UGGCAGGUUCACAGUCUUACAUGUAUUUAAACAUCUUAUCUCUCAUGGCUUUGACUAUGUCAUGACUAGUUUUAUGAACAUUAUUCUACUGUCAGCUCUGAUUAUUUUUCAUUCCACUUUAUCAUCUUAGGUGCCUAAUGACCCAUGCUGUGCAUGAGCUUCCCGGGAUACCCGUGGACACUUCCUUCUAGCUGCUGGCCUGUGCUCUGAACUGUUCCCUUCUCCUUGCAUCCCUCUCCUCCUUGGUCAGAAUCCUGAUCCUCUGUGGACAGUUUAAUCUAAUAAACGAAUUCAGGCUGAGGUCGAGUUGACGGCCUUUUCCCCCUUGGCGUACAAGUAUUGAGUCCCGCGCCCUGGGAGGGAGACGGCGCUCAGCAAAUUUAGAUGAAUGCAACGCUUCAACGUGGGCUCUCGACCUCUGGUCCCCCAUCCCCUGCCGGCUCUAUUAGGACAAUGAAGUCCCCAAACUCCACUGGAGGGUUCUUCACCCACUCUUCUUCCCCUCCAAAGGAACCAUCUCUUGAACUUCACGAAAUCCAGGAGCAAUGCUAAGCGUUUUGUAUACAUCACCUCAUUUUCAAUCCUGUGAGGUGGGAGCUGGGAACUUCAUUUUAACAGGAAUAAAAUGUGGCCUACAGCUGGUUGGGGUGGAGCCAGGACUUGAAGUCCAGUUGUGCUUAUUAACUUCAAG
rnacentral:lncRNA from 1 species